rnacentral:rRNA from 1 species
GACGAACGCUGGCGGCGUGCUUAACACAUGCAAGUCGAACGGAAAGGCCCCUUUGGGGGUACUCGAGUGGCGAACGGGUGAGUAAAACGUGAGUAACCUGCCCUUGACUUCGGGAUAACUUCAGGAAACUGGGGCUAAUACCGGAUAGGAAUCCUUGCUGCAUGGUGGGGGUUGGAAAGCUUCGGCGGUUUUGGAUGGACUCGCGGCUUAUCAGCUUGUUGGUGGGGUAGUGGCUUACCAAGGCUUUGACGGGUAGCCGGCCUGAGAGGGCGACCGGCCACAUUGGGACUGAGAUACGGCCCAGACUCCUACGGGAGGCAGCAGUGGGGAAUAUUGCACAAGGGGCGGAAGCCUGAUGCAGCAACGCCGCGUGCGGGAUGACGGCCUUCGGGUUGUAAACCGCUUUCAGCAGGGGCGAAGCUUGUGGUGACGGUACCUGCAGAAGAAGCACCGGCUAACUACGUG